GAAUCAAUGCUCCAAAUGGAUGAAUAAUGAAAAAAACAAAAAGGCAAGAGGACAAGCCAGCUCUUCCCCUUGCAGGGCACUAGUUGUUGUGGUUAAGGACCCCUUGGAGAGACAUUGAAAGAGUGCAUUGAUUACUCUCAAACUAUAAACCAGUUCACGGAGCUUGAUGCAUAUCCAAUACCUCGUAUGGAAGAGAUUAUCAAUACAUUAGCUAAGUAUAAGAUAUUCUCUACUUUUGACCUAAAACGUGCUUACUACCAAAUUCCUUUGAAAGAAUCAGAAAAGAAAUACACUGCGUUUGAAGUAAAUGGGGAAAUUAUACCACCACUGCAGAGUUCAUUUUUGGGGUAACUAAUGGUGUGGCUGUUUUUCAGAGAUGGAAAAACUUGUUGAACAGGAAAACCUUAAAGAUACUUUCACUUAUCUUGAUAAUAUAACUAUUGCAGGAAAAGAGCAAGCUGAACACGAUGAAAAUGUACAACGGUUUUUAGAAGGUGUACAUUCUACAAAUCUAACAGUAAAUAAGGCUGUCAAUAACAUCAGUGUCAUCAAUUAAUAUUCUUGGUUAUAUGGUUGGAAAUGAUAUAAUUAAGCCUGAUCCAGAAAGACUCCGCACACUUCGAGAGAUACCUGUUCCAGCUACAUUAAACUCUUUCCAAAGGGUUCUUGGUAUGUUUGCAUAUUAUGCUGAAUGAAUACCAAAUUUUUCUGACAAAAUUCAAUCUUUGAUUAGAGCAAAAUCUUUCCCCCUUGACUCUACAGUAAUUGGUGGCUUUACUUCUUUAAAGAAACAGUUAGAAUCUGUGACAUUACACGCCAUCGAUGAGGAUCUCCCCUUUGUUGUUGAAUGCGAAUGUUAUGCACUCCCUCGGCUGGUGUUAAUUAUGUACUAACCUGUUUCUCUGAUUUCCAUUAGUACCUCCUGCUGCCUGGCUGCUCCUGUACCUGAUUGGAGGCUCCUGGCCCAAGCUGCAUCACGUGAGCCUGAUGACGGAGCCUCAGCUUAAAAAGACCAUGUGCACUGGCAGUCUCUCUCUCUGUCUCUCUCUUCCCCCUCAGACUGGUGGCAGCAGUCUGGUGUUGGUUUAGUUUGUUUGAUUGCAUAGUGUUCUUUAUGUAACUCUUCAUUCUGUAUUAACUUAUUUUGCUUGGGAAGGAUGGGACUGGCAUUAUUGUUUUCGUGGUUUUGUUUCAGGUUUAUUUUCACACUGAGGCAGGUUUAGAGUCUCUGGUCCGACGGCCCAUUGAGUGGUCGGCCAGAGCACCCUUUAUCUUUUGUUUGCUAGCCCAUCCGACCCCUCUUUGUUUGUUUGAUCCAGGUUUAGUUCUUUUUGUUAGUGAAAAAUAAAUAAUUUUUCCAUUUGAACCUGGUUUUGUAUUAUGUUAUUGGCCUCUGAGGUAUUUGAUUUUGGCGGCCGUAACAGCGAUGCCUCUGAUUUAGCAGUAUCAGCAACAUUAAAUCAAGAAGGAAGACCAGUGGCUUUCAUGUCUCGUCCUCUCCAAGGUAGUGCAUUGCACUACCCACCAGUCGAAAAGGAAGCUACAGCAAUUAUUGAAGCAACGUAGACCACGUCUCAGCUUGCUUUUGAACGAGGAAUUUGUGACUUCAAGUUCAACAAAAGAGCCCACAAUCCAGGUCAUCAGUAUUGUACUGCCAGAAACUCUGAACUGUGAAACAGAUGUUAAACCAAAUUCAUCUGCUUACCAAAGUUGAUGCAAGGUUCCUGUGGCAAAGCAGCUAUUGAGAGUGUCCAGGUCAAAAACUAUCCUCGAUGACAUCACAAAGGCAGCCACCAAGGGGAAGUGAGCGGCCACCAGCUUCCAGUGACGUCAGGGGGAACGCUGCAUUUAAAUGAACGUUCCGCUUUUUCUGACCUGGGAUUCUAUCAGUGACACAUCGAGACCGUGGCGGUGAAGGAGACAUCUAGACCGCAACGAAUUAACAUUAAAAUUUCAACUGAAAUAUCUCCUGACCAAAUUUGUGAUGUAUAUGACUGACUGUGGAAGUAAAACCUGGAUAAAUCCAACGUAUAUUUCCAGCACAAUAGGAAAUGUUCAGCAGAUUGGUACCCCCCUGGCUGCUGCAGUUUCCUUCUACGUCCCUACGUCCCGUUCUACAACAGGCAAAGCCCACUUGUGGGUAUCACUGCGUCAAUGUUGUCUAACGACUUUGGCACCCUUGUGUCUUGCUCAACAAUCGCUUUCCCGGGGACAAAGUCAGAAAUCUCGAUAGCCGUGCCUGAAUCCUGCAUUGCUGGAUCUUGUAA